AGUCCCCGAGAAAUCUCUGCCUCUGGGUAUCCCUCCCCCGGCGCGGAGCGGAGUGGGCGAGCGGGAGGUGUCUCAGCUAAUCAGAGCCGCACGCUGGAAUUCCAUGCAGACACUUCAAAACCAUCCAGAUGUCAGCUAUGUUUGUUUUUAAUCUGCCAAGAGCUCAGGCAGCCUGGAAUGCAGGGUGAAAACGUGCAGCGGAGCAGACCCACCAAGUACUGCAGCCCCUGAGAACAAUCAAGUCUCCGUCUCAGAGUCACUGCAGCAGUGACAAUGGGGAGACCUAUCCUGCUGUUUAUCUUCUCAUUUCCUCUCUCUGGCCAAGCCUGCAAAGAGCAUGACAGAACCCUACUGUAACUGCAAAUGUUUGUUUUCUGGUUUCAAAUGCGACAGCAUGUUCAUUAUGCAAAAGUUGGAAAAUGCACGAAAAUAUAUAUAGAAAAAAAUACCAGGAGGAAAUACUAUUUUGGGCUGCAGGGAUCAUAGGCUUUAAAAUUUUUUUUAUCUUACAUGUUUUUCCAUAUUUCCCAAAAUUUCUACCAUGAAUUAGAAUUACUGCUUUAUCAUAAAAAGUUUUAAAAAUACAUAUUUUGCGAUUUAUAGGAAGGUUACAUGGCAAGCAUUACAUACUCUCACAUAAAGUUAGACAUAGGGCAUAGAAGCAGAUGAUACCACAGAGUUGAUCACAAAUAGCUUCGUAAAUAGCAAAACUGGCAUAAGGUACAGAAUAUGGAGAAAGUAUGCCAUCAGUGACACUAUCACGAUGAAAAAAAUGGGAGAGUGCAGUGCAGAGUCAAUUCUGUGGCACUUUGCUGAUGAGACAAAGGGCCUAGGACAAUGCCCCAAAAUGUGGUGGUGCUCUAGAAAUAUUUGUUAAAUAAAAGGGUCAAAAUAUAAUUCCAAAUAAUUAAUUUCUUUUUUAAAAAUAAAUUUAUUAUUUUUAAAAUUUA